CCGAGGCUCCGCACCGCGAGCACGAGGCUAGCGUGUGCUGGGCACAGCUCGCUGCCCCGGGGCGGCGAGGGCAGCGGCUCGGGCACCACAACCGCCCCACUGCCGCGGACGGACCCGGAAAGCGCAGGGUGCCGGGCUGGAGCCUGCAGCGGUGCUGGGGCGCUGUGCCGGGAGAUGCGUAGCUGAUGUGCCGCUUUCUGGGAGGCUGACGGUGGGCUCGCUGUGCAGCUGGCCGGGGUGCAGCCCCUCUCCUUCCCGCCAUGGCUCUGUCCUGCGCAUGGAGGCUACCGCGCUGGCACCUUCGCCCUUCGAGUGCUCUCCUGAGCAGCCUGCCCAGUCAAGGCCGCAGCCUGCUGACGGAGAAGAAGACAGCAGCAAAGUGGAAGGAGAAGAAAAAGGCCAGGGAGGGCUGCAGCCUACCAGGUUCCUCCUGGGAGGAGAGGUUAGCGAACGCGGCGACGCCACUGUGGAGACUUCCCUAUCAAGAGCAGCUGCAGGACUCCUCUGCAGGUGAAGUAUGAAAGCCAGAGGAAGAUUUUGCAGACACUGGCAUCUCGUCUUGAGGAGCUGGGCACAGAUGCGCAGAAACCUGGUGGACUCUGCUGUCCUCUCCAGCCUGUGGUCCCUUCGCCCGUCAUUAAUGGCUACCGAAACAAAUCGACUUUCUCUGUGAACCGAGGACCGGACGGGAACCCCAAAACCGUGGGGUUGUAUGUGGGAACUGGCAGAGGUCAGCGCAGGACAAGGAGCUGGGUAGAAAACUGCUGGUGUGGGCUGGGUUGGGGCAAGGCUCUGCUGUGAGAGCCUCCACCUGAGUUAGAAGCCUGAAUCCUGGGCGAUGCCAACAGAAACGCCACCAAGUCCUGGGCAGCAAUUUUGAAAACUCAGUUCACUAGCUUCUUAAGAAACACCAGCUUCUGAUUUGCUAAAUACAGCAGUAAGGAUGACAGCUGUGGUAGCAGCCCCUCCGGGAUUUAGCUUUGUUAUUCUUAACUAUGCUGUUCCCAUGUUUUUGGCGUGCUCCAGGAGCCUGUGCUGAGCAGGGAGAGCACGGUGGGGUGUGCACGUCCAUAGGCAGCAGAGCAACGUUGGAGCAUUUGGGAUGCGUGAGGCAGUUUGGUUUUGUGCAACGAAGAUGUGAGCUGUGUGCUCCUCGCAGGCUGCUCAGUGGUGAACUCGUUCACACCAUCGAUACUAGGUUUUGCUUGUCAACAUCCAUAGCAAGAGGCACUGGGGUGGUUGCUGUGUACUUUUCUCAUUGAAAAAAUAAUUCCGUGGAUGCAUUUUACUAUUGUCUUCCAGGCAACUUAAACUGCCUUGCUGCUGUAAGCCCACACCGUUAUUCUCCAGUUAGAAAACCAGCUUGCUCUGCUCUGGCUCCCUUAGUUUAAGAACAGUGCAAUGGCUCCUUCGGGAGUUGCUAGAGGACAUUUAAAAAGCUCCCGGAGCUCCACCCUCUUCAUGGAAGUUAGUGACUAAUCACCGACAAAGGGAAUUUUGGCAGGUCCUGCAGACUGCGGGUGCCCAGAACAUCACAGGAUUUUAGUGGAGCACUUAGA